rnacentral:lncRNA from 1 species
CAGAAAGGCCUCUCUGGAGCCCCUCUUUGGCCGGGGGUGGGGGUGGGGGAGGACGACACAGCUGACUUGAUCUCUCAUGGCCACUGAAUUCGCAGUCUUGGCCCAUUCUGCUUGGAGUGAAGAAGGGCAGGCAGAGUGCAGGUCCUAGGAAGGGCACAGGACACGAUACAGACACCCGGGCCUCUUCUGGUCUUCCUCUAGUGUAGCCCCUGGACUGCUUAGGAGUCAAGGCCCAAACAGCCUUAGCCUGGUUUUCUCUCCCUCUCUUGAGUCUCUGCCUGCAAACCCUUAGGGGCUCUCUGGGGUUUGUUUGCAGUGCUGCUCUUCCUGAAUCCCUUUGGUCCCUGCCCGUUGGCUUGGGGGGCUGACCUCUCCCCUGCACGCAUGCCCACCCCAUUCCCAUUUUCAAGGGGCAGUGUUGGAGCUCCGCAGCCUUGAACUGAACUGGGGCCACGUGAGAGAAGGAGAUGGCUUGACCUUUGCAGGAAGGGACGUGAAGGCAGAUUCACAGCUCGCAGCGCUGCAGGGAGACCCAGGGCUGCACAGGGAGCCGCAGGCGUUGCCACAGCCCCAGCAGCUCUGACGGGAGCCUGUAAGAGGAAACCAGCUCCGGGAGGCCAAGAGCUUCUGUGCGACGUGUGUGUGUGUGUGUGUGCGCGCGGGCGCGUGUGCGCACACACAGGCCGCUCAUUGAGCCUUUGGUGGUGGGGAAGCUGAGGCUACUGUCAGUGUAUGGCAGUAGGCAGUGGAGGGGGGCUCACAGAGAGGCUGAGGGCCAAGGUUGGGGCUGCAGUGGAGGAUGGGGCCUCUGGAAAAGAAAAUUGCUAAAGGAAGCCGGCCCUAAGAGGCCCAGCCACCUGGAGACUGGCUUAUCAGAUGCGGGUGGGGGGUGGUGUCCAAGCAUCUUAGCAAAGUACAGCCUGGGGAGGGUAGAACUGCCAAAGGAUAGGGAGUCUGGAGCUUGCUUGGGUUUUACACAUUAUUUGGGGGUGGCGUCUCCCAGGGAAAAACAGCAGGCCCUUUACUUGGAAGUCCCCAAAGGCCUCAGAGAAAUUACUUGA